rnacentral:rRNA from 1 species
CCUACGGGGGGCAGCAGUGAGGAAUAUUGGUCAAUGGGCGAGAGCCUGAACCAGCCAAGUCGCGUGAGGGAGUACUGCCCUAUGGGUUGUAAACCUCUUUUGUCGGGGAGCAAAAGCCGGACGUGUCCGGCUGUGAGAGUACCCGAAGAAAAAGCAUCGGCUAACUCCGUGCCAGCAGCCGCGGUAAUACGGAGGAUACGAGCGUUAUCCGGAUUUAUUGGGUUUAAAGGGAGCGUAGGUGGGUUGUUAAGUCAGUUGUGAAAGUUUGCGGCUCAACCGUAAAAUUGCAGGUGAAACUGGCAGUCUUGAGUACAGUAGAGGUGGGCGGAAUUCGUGGUGUAGCGGUGAAAUGCGUAGAUAUCACGAAGAACUCCGAUUGCGAAGGCAGCUCACUGGACUGCAACUGACACUGAGGCUCGAAAGUGUGGGUAGCAAACAGGAUUAGAUACCCGGGUAGUC